rnacentral:lncRNA from 1 species
CAUGUUUACAUGAAACAUCUGUUAAUAUAUCAAAGGCUGCUUUAGCUGAGAGGUACACUGAUUAAGUUUUGUAAAGUAGAUCUCUUUUUAGCUUGACAUACAACAUGUAGUCUCUGCAAUUUGACAACAUUUUUUUCUAUAAGUAACUGGUACAACUGAUCAAGAGUUCAUUCAUUUCCUUUCUUGUUCAAGAAGUCCACAAUGCAAGUCUUGAUGAAAUGUACAGGUCCUCCAGUUCCUUCGCGGAC